CCUACGGGAGGCAGCAGUGGGGAAUCUUGCACAAUGGGCGCAAGCCUGAUGCAGCCAUUCCGCGUGAACGAUGACGGUCUUCGGAUUGUAAAGUUCUUUUGGCGGGGACGACGAUGACGGUACCCGCAGAAUAAGUCACGGCUAACUUCGUGCCAGCAGCCGCGGUAAUACGAAGGUGGCGAAUGUUGUUCGGAUUUACUGGGCGUAAAGCGUCCGCAGGUGGUUACCCAAGUCAGGUGUGAAAGCCCCGCGCUCAACGUGGGAAUUGCAUUUGAAACUGAGUAACUAGAAGACGAGAGAGGUGGGCGGAAUUGCAGGUGUAGAAGUGAAAUUCGUAGAUAUCUGCAGGAACACCCAUGGCGAAGGCAGCUCACUGGCUCGCUCUUGACACUCAUGGACGAAAGCGUGGGGAUCAAACAGGAUUAGAUACCCUGGUAGUCCACGCCCUAAACGAUGUGUGCUCGCUGUCGGGUUCGCUACAGAACUCGGUGGCUCNGCACGCGUAGCGACACCGCCGGGACGGACGGCGCGAAGUAAACGUUAAAGUAAGUUAGAGNGUUGAGAGNGCGAGGCGACGACGAGGAGAGG
rnacentral:rRNA from 1 species